GACCAGCCCCCAUCCAGGAGCCCACCCAGAGUCACCUCAUUAGAACAAAGGAUGCUCCCAGAGCCCUUAACGCUUAGGAAACUAUAUGGGUUUUAGAAACUCCGUACCAGGAACGGGCGGCAGAGACCAAUAUCUGUAUAUAUUUUAUUGUCUCACAGUAACCUUCUUCAUCCUGAGUCUCAGCUUAAACGACAUCCUCAGGAAGGCCUCCCUGACCCCCUAGACAGAGUUUGGACCCUUAUCACACCCUUGCGCAGUACCGUGAAGCCCUUCUCCAUAGCCCUCCCCACAGUUAUAAUGUUACGUCUAUGAUGUCUCUUAACAUCUCCUCCCCAUAGGCUAUCCGCUCCAUGAGGGCUGGGCAUGUCUUUUUCCCCCACUUAUUUCCGCAGAACCUGGCAUUUGUUGGAUAGACAAAGGGAGGAUUCUGGAAGGUGGGAUCUGCCCUCACUCCCCUAUCCUCCACACCUUCCUCCAGAUCCUGUGAGAAUGGCCCUCCCUGGGGUAGGGGAGAGGGUCCUGGGGACUCCAGAUCCCUGGGCUCCCUGUUUGUCUGGGUCACGGCCUCUUCCUUGUGACCUUGAGCCAUAUAAUCGUGUGAGUCUAAAGCGUGUGCCCUCACCUCCACGAAUCCCUCAGCCUGGUUUCCAGAGGUGCUGCAAAACUCGCAUUCGAUGCGAUCAGUUCAGGAAAGCUGCAAUACCAAACCUGGCUCUGAGUAACACACAGGCCACAGCAACAGCUCCUGCCGCCUCUUAGCCUCAGUUUCCCCAGCUGCAAUAAAAAGGGAUUGAAGUAGAAGGUCAAAGGUCCCCCCACUCUACCUGUCAGGAUUUCUCCAUCUUCCUCAACUCUGGGGCCCUGUCCCACAGCCCAGCACUUCUUCCCUCUGUCGCCUCCACUGAGUAUGUCUCACCCAUGCCCGGCCUGGGCAUUGCACAAAUUUGAAUUUUCAUACACAUGGAGGCGACGGGAGGGCCUGGGGGCCUGGGGGCCUGGGAAGGGGAACUUGGCUCGUCGAGCGCAGGCACCGUGCUCAGUGUGGGACGCGCGUUGUUUCAUGAAGCUCACAGUACCCCGAGAGAUGUAGGUUGUCUCGUUCUUUGCACUUGACAGACAAGAGAACUGCCACCGAGAACGGUGAAGCAGUGUGCCCAAAGUCCUGCAGCUGGGAAGAGACUGAACCAGGGUCGGAGGUUCCAACAAACCCCCCCUCGGUGCUGCCGGGAGCAGGAAGCCCCGGGUCAAGUUCCCUUUCUCAGGGGCCUCUCUCGAGCCCUGCCUGCAGGAACUCCCUGUUAUGUCAUCUCAUUGCCCUUACUUCCUCUAAGGGUUUGGGAUUCUUGUUGAAAUGUGACUUCAGUUUGGUGGCAUCUCCUCCCAACACCACUGGGGGGUCACUGGGUUCAGGGCGGAGACCCUCUGGGUGGCACAGGUGAAGGGAGGGACACAGCCCCUGGACUCAGGCUGGAGGCUAACACCACCUGCGUAUUCAGCGGCGCAGGCUCCAAGGAUCCAGGGAGGGAAGCAAGGAGAAAGAGCUUCAUAACGCAUUUCAGCUCAGUGCCGUCCACAUUUCUGGCCUACUGUGGGUUUGCUGGGAACCUGGUAAACAUGGCAGAUAAUCUCUACCCUCCCUGCCUUCAGGUGGGGACCCAGUGGGUGAGGGUUACUCAAGCACACCUUCCUUCCGUAGCCUGGGGACCGGGGACGGCUGCCCAGAGGAAGCGACGGCUGAGCUGAGGAUGAGCGAGAGACGAGGGGGUAGGGCAGCAGAGAGGAUGCACAUUGAGGAACUGAAAGAAGUUUCGAGUGGGAGUGGGCCUUGGAGGCCCCAGAGGGAGUGGGAGCAGGCUCUGAGAGACCCCAGUAAGGAGUUUGCCUUUUGACCCAUGGGUUUUGGGCAUGAGUUCCUGAUUGAUCAAAAUGAGGAGUGAUGUGGUGUGAACUGCAUUUUAGCCAGACUGGUGAAGGUAUGGAAGGUGGCUCGGCGGGCAGGGAGGGGCUGCUGCUGUGCUCAAGGAGAGAGGAGGGAAGGCCCACCUGGGCUGGUGGGCAGAUGGGAAAGGCAUUUAGGAGGCAGAAUGGAGAGUUGAGGAAUGGAGGGAGCCCAUGGGGUCUGGGUUAAGGCACCCACCCCUCCCAUCUGCUUCCAGCUCUGGUCAAAGUCUGGUGCAGGCAGGUGGCUGAAACAAGGAGGACAAGGCUGGCCACUGGGACAAGGAGGAAAUGCACCAGCCAGUGCCAGGCUUGCCUCCCAAGCCCUGCUGUCUGUGAGCUGCUGAUGGUGACCUUGUGUUUGGACUUGCUUUGAUGACCGCCCACUUCAGCCUCAGUUCUGAGCUUUCCCAGAAUAACAGGGGCCUGGGGCCUGGGGCUAGGUGGCUGUCUCCACCUGUAGGUGGGCGUUUGGUUUCAGAGUGGCUACCGCUGCAGCUGUCUGUGCUGGGUGCCCCGCAGAGCCUCCCCACUGCUUUCUAAAGAAGCCUGGAGCAGUGAACUAUAAGAGAGACGGGAGACCUCUGUCCCAGCAAGUGAUUCCAGCCCCUGGGGGCUCCAGGGGCAAGGUGGAAGUCCUCAGAAUCCUCCUCUCUGCCAAGGCUUCGGUACCUGUCCAUGUCGCUCUUCCAAGCCUGUGUGUCCAGCCUGACCCUGGGCUUCAGGUGUAUAGACAACUCCCCACUUGACAUCUCCCCUGAUGUCCGAUGGCAUGAAGUUCCUCACACUCAGCACCUCCCCCGUAACCUGCUCCUCCCAUGUCCCCCUCUGCAGUGAAUGGCACCUCUGAACACCCGGAUACCCAGACGAGGGACCCAGGAGCCCUGAGGGUGCGCACCCGUUACCGUAGUGGCUCCGAGCACGGGAGCAGGGCCCCGCCUGCUGGCUGACUCUGGAACUGCACCUCUGCCCCUGUUCGGAAGUCGAAUCCUUGGAAUCCAAUUACCCCUGCGGAACCGGAAGUGGUUUUACUCCAUGGCAACAGACCCCACCCAAACUCAGCAGAUUGGCUGUUGAGAGAGCAGAACACCUGUCUCCCCCGCUUCGAGGAGACUCAGCUGAGGGCAGGGGCUGCCUUGUUCACCUGCCGCCGGGGGGCUUUUCUGACAUCUGAAUCUGACCGCUCACUGCCGCUGCCUGAAAUCUCCCGAAGGAAGCCUUCUGCACUCUGGGUGGGGGGUGUGAGUGUGAGACGUACAUGUCUCUGAAUUUUCCACUAUUUCUACACGGGCAUGCCUUCACUAAUUUUUUUAAUUCUUUUUUUAAGUAAAGGAAAAAAAUCCUUCAGUGGCUUCCUGGUACUUUCAAAUUCCUGGGUAAAGCCUACAGGGCGAGAUCUGGCCUCUGCCUUUCUGACCCCUCCCUCCCCCCACCCACCAGCCAUCCCCAGGGCCUCCUUCCACGCCUCUCUCUCACUGGUUCCUUUGCCUGGAGAACUUUGGUCCACACUCCUCCACAUAGCGAAUCCCUAUUUGCUCUUCAAUGCUCGGCUCAAAUGUCGUCUCCCUAGAAGCCUCUCCGACCUGCAGGGUCUUGCUUGUCUCUGCUGUCCUCACCCUGUCCAUCCCUCCAUUAAAGCUCUCGGCAGUCCACCGCGCUGGAAGUGUGCCCAUUUCCCUCUCUAAGGCAGGCCUCUUGGAGGCAGGGGGAGUGCACUCCCGUAUGCUCAGUCCACGUUAGUGGAAAGAAGUGAGGCCCCACUGCCAUGGUUGCUCACAAGCAAAAUGAAGGAUCCAGACAGGAUCUCAUAAAUCCUUCUGACUGUAAAAUUCUAUGAUUUGCAGGUAAUGGUGAGCAUAUUUCAGGCAAGCUGUCACCAAACAGCUGAUCCUGAGCUGGGAUCACCCGGGGAAUGGGCUGGUUCCUCUCAAUAGGUGUCCUUUACAGAGUUCACCACCCUUUCCCGCUCUGGGGAGGGGAACAUGGAUGGGUCACCCCGUCCCUCCUUAGCAGAUGGCCCAUUAGUGGGCACAGGACUCUGGGGAAACCAACAGCUGCUUCUCCUCCAGGGUGGGCCCUGUCCCUUGGGGAGAGGCUGUGUCCCUCAGCAGCAUCAGGCUCACUUGGGUGAUAACCACUUGUCAAUCCUUGUGGUGAAGGGAAGGGCAUGGUCUCUAUGGUCAUCGUCCAGAGCUGCAUUAAGGGCAAGAGGCAACUGAGCCCCCUCUGCAGUGCUCAUCUGUCAGCGGUGCUAAAAAACGAUCGGAAUCAAUCAGAAAUAUGGUGCCAACUAAGCCAGGUUUCCACAGACAUGCCUCCUUACGUCACGUGACUACCAAAUUCAGUCAGUCCUGCUUCCACUAACGCCGGCAGGCCCUGGAAGGGGAAGAUAUAGCUCUGCAGAUGUGGAUAUUCUGUUGAGCUUUCUUUGAGACACCAAUGCAAAUUUCACUCUGCAGCUCUAAUUCUGAAACCAAAUAAUGCAUGGCACAAUCUCUCUCAGAGGAAGGACUUUAUUAUCUAAACCAGAUCUAAAUCCUUUAAUAUACCCUCAGUUGUCCAGUUUGAGAAAAAAAAAAAAUUUAACUUCAAAACAAGCACCUAGCUACAAAUAGAUAUGGCUCCAGCUUACCAAGCACAUCCUUCACCUUAGCUCAUCCUGGAGGCUGUGUGAACCUGUGCUCAGGCUUUGGAUUCAGACCGGAGUUUGAAUCCUGACUUCACUACAGGGGGAUCAUGAGGAAGUUUAUUUUGUCUUUGAGCCUGUUUUCUCAUCUGUAAAAUGGGGAUGAAAACAGGAUUCCUCUUAGGGCUAUGUAAACUAAGCGACAUGCUGUAAAUGGUUGGCAGGGUAGGGAGGUGCUCAGUGCGUGACUGUUAACCAGCGCUGACAGUACCCUUCAGUGGGAGAGGAAGGCACCCUCAUAAGAUGGGGACACUCGUUUUUACGGUAGCUGGCAGUGAAGCCAACUUCUCGUAUAGCUGUGGUUUUAUGGAUCCUAGUUCUUCAGCAGGGGCUCCUGCCGAGAGUCCACACUCUCAGCCAAGGGCUUUGGAGCCUAGUUGGCAUCUUAUCGCAAAGCCACCUAUGUAAGUCUCACCACACACAAGGUGCACUUCCUGCGUACGAGGUUCUAGCAUGCAAGACACAUCCACUCAAUCCAAACUCGGGCUGAAAUCUCUUCUAAAGGUACUCAACUAUAGCUUCCUUUUGCUCCUCUGCGACUUGAGCUAUAGCUGAAAAACACGCAGCUGUAACCAGAAAGUGGGUGACCAGAUUUAACCACGCCCACCUCAGGACAAGUGUCCCAAAGCCCGGUCCCCCCUCGUCAGGGCUGCGGUUCUGCCUCCUGAUGAAGGGCAGCAGGCAGCUCUUAACCCACUUUGCUUGGUGAGGCUUCAGUCUGGGGACUGGAAUCUCUAAUUAGAAUUUCCUCAUUCAUCAGAGGGCAUCUUUAUUUGUGGUAAUAAAAUGGGGACAGAGCAUAACCUCUCAAACCCAACAGCCAUACCUUUGACAAACAUUUCCCAAUGGCAGUGGGAAUCCGCGAUGGCGACUGAGUCACAGACUGCACCCGAAUGACAAAAGUUACGUUUAAUUUACAAUGUAAUAAAGGUUACAGGUAAAAAGCUACACAUAAAGCAUGAAAAGGCCUAUUACACA